rnacentral:rRNA from 1 species
GUGUCCUACGGGGCGCAGCAGUGGGGAAUAUUGCACAAUGGGGGGAACCCUGAUGCAGCAAUGCCGCGUGAAGGAUGAAGGUUUUCGGAUUGUAAACUUCUUUUGUACGGGACGAAGAAAGUGACGGUACCGUAAGAAUAAGCCACGGCUAACUACGUGCCAGCAGCCGCGGUAACACGUAGGCGGCAAGCGUUAUCCGGAUUUACUGGGUGUAAAGGGCGAGUAGGCGGGAUUGCAAGUCAGAUGUGAAAACUAUGGGCUCAACCGAUAGAGUGCAUUUGAAACUGUUUUUCUUGAGUACCGGG